UUUUUACAGAUUUGAGUCCAGCAGACCGAGAUCAGAGUCUCCUGUACCCAGCUGUCUGUCUAUGAGUAGUGACCUCUCCAAAGAAUUUCCAUUAAACUUCAGAAAUGAUCCUGAACUUUCACACUCAAAAUUUGAGUCCAGCAGACAGAGAUCAGAGUCUCCUGUACCCAGCUGUCUGUCUAUGAGUAGUGACCUCUCCAAAGAAUUUCCAUUAAACUUCAGAAAUGAUCCUGAACUUUCACACUCAAAAUUUGAGUCCAGCAGACAGAGAUCAGAGUCUCCUGUACCCAGCUGUCUGUCUAUGAGUAGUGACCUCUCCAAAGAAUUUCCAUUAAACUUCAGA